UACGUAGGGGGCAAGCGUUGUCCGGAUUUACUGGGUGUAAAGGGUGCUCAGGUGGAUUUGUUAGUCGGAGGUGAAACUCCGGAGCUUAACUCCGGAACUGCCUCCGAAACAGCAAGUCUUGAGUUUGGUAGAGGAUGAUGGAAUAUCUGGUGUAGCAGUGAAAUGCGUAGAGAUCGGGAAGAACAUCAGUGGCGAAGGCGACGUGCUGGGCUGCACCUGACGCUGAGAUGCGAAAGUGUGGGGAGCAAAC
rnacentral:rRNA from 1 species